UGAAUACGAGAUGCUACGGCGUCGAAGCAGUCUAUGUCAUACUUCCAAGAAAAGCUUGCACUGUCAUAAACAAAUAAUGCCUGUACCAUAACCGACACAGGUGGGUAGGUAGAGUAUACUAAGGGGCGCGAGAUAACUCUCUCUAAGGAACUCGGCAAAAUGACUCCGUAACUUCGGGAGAAGGAGUGCCUUAUUUAUAAGGUUGCAAUAACAAGAUCCAAGCAACUGUUUACCAAAAACACAGGUCUCCGCUAAGUCGUAAGACGAUGUAUGGGGGCUGACGCCUGCCCAGUGCCAGAAGGUUAAAGAAGUUGGUUAGCAUCCGCGAAGCUGAUAACUGAAGCCCUGGUGAACGGCGGCCGUAACUAUAACGGUCCUAAGGUAGCGAAAUUCCUUGUCGGGUAAGUUCCGACCCGCACGAAAGGCGUAAUGAUUUGGAUACUGUCUCGGAGAGGGGCUCGGUGAAAUAGACUUGUCUGUGAAGAUGCGGACUACCUGCACCAGGACAGAAAGACCCUAUGAAGCUUUACUGUAACCUGAAAUUGAAAUUGGACUUUACUUGCGCAGUAUAGGUGGGAGGCGUUGAGAAUAUUCUUGCGGGAUUAUUGGAGCCAUCAGUGAGAUACCACUCUUGUAAUGUUAGAUUUCUAACUUUGUAUCAUUAUCUGGUCAAAGAACAGUUUCAGGCGGGCAGUUUGACUGGGGCGGUCGCCUCCUAAACGGUAACGGAGGCGCACAAAGGUUUCCUCUGAACGGGUAGAAAUCGUAUCUAGAGUGUAAAGGCAUAAGGAAGCUUGACUGUGAGACCUACAAGUCGAGCAGGGACGAAAGUCGGUCUUAGUGAUCUGACGGUGCUGAGUGGAAAGGCCGUCACUCAACGGAUAUAAGUUACUCUAGGGAUAACAGGCUGAUCUCCCCCAAGAGUUCACAUCGACGGGGAGGUUUGGCACCUCGAUGUCGGCUCAUCGCAUCCUGGGGCGGUAGUACGUCCCAAGGGUUGGGCUGUUCGCCCAUGAAAGCGGUACGCGAGCUGGGUUCAGAACGUCGUGAGAUAGCUCGGUCCAUAUCCGGUGUAGGCGUUAGAAUAUUAAGAGGAGCCUUCUUUAGUACGAGAGGACCGAGAAGGACAUACCUCUGGUGUACCAGUUAUCGUGCCAACGGUAAACGCUGGGUAGCUAUGUGUGGAGUGGAUAACCGCUGAAAGCAUCUAAGUGGGAAGCCCACCUCAAGAUAAG
rnacentral:rRNA from 1 species